rnacentral:rRNA from 1 species
UACAGAGGGGGCAAGCGUUGUUCGGAAUUACUGGGCGUAAAGGGCGCGUAGGCGGCCUGUUAACGUCGAACGUGAAAUCCCCGGGCUCAACCCGGGAACUGCGUCCGAUACUGGCAGGCUUGAAUCCGGGAGAGGGAUGCGGAAUUCCAGGUGUAGCGGUGAAAUGCGUAGAUAUCUGGAGGAACACCGGUGGCGAAGGCGGCAUCCUGGACCGGCAUUGACGCUGAGGCGCGAAAGCCAGGGGAGCAAACGGG